AUGAAGCUAAUGAGAAAUCCGGAUAAAUCGGUUCAGGUCGUUGAAGACAAUGAUGAUGAAGGAACAUUUGUAAUGCUGGAACCGGUUUUUCAGUUUUUACAGGUUUGGAUUGGAGUUAGCAUAAUCGAUAAAUCCAAGAUUAUGGAGAAUGAGGAUGGAAUCAAGGAAUGGCUUGAAGGGAAUUGGAGAUUGGUUCAAUCAUGA
rnacentral:lncRNA from 1 species